rnacentral:misc_RNA from 1 species
AACAAGGCGUACCUGCGGACCUGCGGAAGGAUCAUUACCGAGUUUACAAACUCCCAACCCUUUGUGAACCUUACCAUAUUGUUGCUUCGGCGGGACCGCCCCGGCGCCUUCGGGCCCGGAACCAGGCGCCCGCCGGAGGCCCCAAACUCUUAUGUCUUUAGUGGUUUUCUCCUCUGAGUGACACAUAAACAAAUAAAUAAAAACUUUCAACAACGGAUCU